rnacentral:rRNA from 1 species
AAAAGUAGUAUUAGUUAUGAUCUUGAAACUUAAAAAAUUUGGCGGUAUUUUAGUCUAUUCAGAGGAACCUGUUUUGUAAUCGAUAAUCCACGAUGGACCUAACUUAAAUUUGUUAUCAGUUUAUAUACCGUCGUUAUUAGAAUAUUUUAUAAGAAUUUUAAUUUUCACAAUUUUAAAAAAGAAAUUAUAUCAGAUCAAGGUGUAGCUUAUAUUUAAGUAAAAAUGGGUUACAAUAAAAUUAUUUAAAUGGAUUUAAAUUUGAAAUAUUUAUUGAAGGUGGAUUUGAUAGUAAAAUUAUAUAGAUUAAUAAU